GGGGAAUAUUGGGCAAUGGGCGGAAGCCUGACCCAGCGACGCCGCGUGAGGGAAGAAGGCCUUUGGGUCGUAAACCUCUGUUGUAUGGGAAGAAGGAAGUGACGGUACCAUACGAGGAAGUCCCGGCUAACUACGUGCCAGCAGCCGCGGUAAUACGUAGGGGACGAGCGUUGUCCGGAAUUACUGGGCGUAAAGGGCGCGCAGGCGGAUAUUUAAGUCAGCUGUUAAAGUCAUGGGCUCAACUCAUGGAUGCGGUUGAAACUGGGUAUCUAGAGUGCUGGAGAGGUAGGCGGAAUUCCCGGUGUAGCGGUGAAAUGCGUAGAUAUCGGGAAGAACACCAGUGGCGAAGGCGGCUUACUGGCCAGCAACUGACGCUGAGGCGCGAAAGCCAGGGGAGCGAACG
rnacentral:rRNA from 1 species